rnacentral:lncRNA from 1 species
AAAAAUAGAGUAUAAAAAAAUUACUUCCAAAUAUAGAGCAAAAAUAGAGUAUAAAAAAACUACUUCCAAAUAUACACCAAGCUUAAUCCGGUACAUAAGCCAGAAUUACGACUAAUGUUAGAAACCUGCAAGUAAAUCAAUCAAUCGCCAAACACAACCACAAUAAUAAGACUCUAACUAACUACAACUAGUAACACUGUAUUUUGAUGUUAAUACUCUCCAUAACCCUUUACC